AACGCACCUUGCGCUCCUUGGUAUUCCGAGGAGCAUGCCUGUUUGAGUGUCAUGGUAUUCUCAAUCCAUUCAAUACUGUCAAAGGUAUUGGAUUGGUAUUGGAUGUGGAGGAUUAUUGCUGGUCUCUUUAUUGAGUAUCAGCUCCUCUGAAAUGCAUUAGUGUGAAUGUUUACCGAGCAUUUUCUCAGUGUGAUAAUUAUCUACACUAUGUUUGAGUGAUACAGCUUCAUGCUUCGAAUCGUCGCAAGACACUGCUUUGACUUCUGACCUCAAAUCAGGUAGGAUUACCCGCUGAACUUAA
rnacentral:rRNA from 1 species